ensembl:lncRNA
AGCUGGGGACCGCGCACCCCGCGUCGGGCCGAGCGCGGGGCGCUGCGCUGCCAGGAGGAGGGAGCGCUUUUACUUUUAUCUGGGAGACAUGAGGCGCGCUUCCUGCCGGCGGCUCCAGAGACGGGGGGCAGAGGAACGAGCCGGCGCCGUGCCCAUGGGGCGGCCGCGCUACACGGGCGCGCACAUCGCCGCGCACGCAGCGCGGGACGGCCGCGGUGUCACCUGCUCCCGGCAGCGCCGAGCCCCACGCCCGCAGGAGGGCCCUCCCGGGGCCGGGCCGGGCGGAGCGGUGGGGCCGGGCGGCGGCGGGGCUUCCCGGCGCUCCGCAGCCCCUGUGCCAUGCGGCGUCCCGAGGAGCCGCGCCGUUUAGAGCAGGGGCCGCGGCGGAGGAACACACCCCCCGGCGCCUCACCCCUCCUCAAACUUGCUGACAUUUGAACUCCAUUGGUGCGCGCGGUAUCGCUGCGCCGCGGUGAUCCGUCUCCUCGACGUCAAAUAGUGCCCUGGCCCCGGUGGGCCCCCGCAGCCCCCGAAGCGCGGCGGCACCCGGGGCGCGGGGCGGGCGAGCUUCGUGCACCCCGGGGCGGCCCGGCCCGCCUCGCCUCUGCUCCGGCCGCGGGGCGCAGACCGGGUGCGGAGCCGGAGUGGGGCCCCGGGCUGGGGACCGGGGACCGGGAGGAGAGAGCGCGGCAGCCGAGGAGGGCGGCGGAGCGGCGUCCGCAGCCCCGAGCCUCAGCUCCGCCGCGUCCGGCCGGGCGGCAGCCGAGAGCCGGCGACGCGGCCCGACGGCGGCUCCUGGCUCCUGCCCAGCGACAAAAUGAAGAAAAGUUGUAUGACAUCAACAUUUUGUUGGGAAAUCUUUCAUUGCCAAUGAAGUCACUGCUCACUGAAGCAAUCACUGUAAUUUUAAACUGUUCCUGGAUUCAGCACCUGAGGAUGGCUGUGAGGACAUUAGGACCCUUCUGGAGGGGAUGGUAUUAUUGUUUGCCGCAUGCACGGUCUGGCUCCUGCCUCAGAACCCAGCAAAGAGAUGGGCUGAAGCUGCCUGGGUUUAAAUAACUGGGAAAGGGAUGGGAAGGGGCGGGAGACAAGAGGUCAAAACGUGGUAAAGGUGCAGAGGAAUUUUCAGGGAAACAUUUUGUUACUUUUUAUCAGGUGAAAGACAAACUAAGCAGUUGCUAUUAGUGAUCAAAUAGAGCUUUCAGUGCUCUGAGAUACACAGCUGAAGACAUCAUCUGCCCACCAGCAAGAAUGUACACUCCUAAAAUAGAAUUACCUUAGAAAAACUCAAAUUUUAAUUUCAAUUACAGUUGUUCUAUGAAAGACAGAUGUGAACUGUUAUAGUGUUUAGAACGUGAUUUAACAGAGAAAAAACAAAUAUUAAUGAAAUGUGUUUCACUGAUGGGAUUUGAUUGGCAUGCUGUAUUAAUUACAGGCCUUUCACCUCUGAAACUGCUGCUCUAAUCCUGUUGGUGCUCAGGGAAAACAAUUUAAGAGUUAUUUAUAUAUUCUAAAAUGAUACAGGCAUCUUUAAGAAAAAAGAGGGCUGCAUUACAGCAUUGGUUUCACUAUAGUGAAAUACUCACAAAGGAGCUUCUGCCAACAUACACACUGCAGGCACCAUUCUACAAUCCCAGUAUACCUUGAAUAUCUACAGAGUUUUCUGCGUGCAAAUAAUGGCAGUUGGACCUUUAACGUGGAGUGAAAAUUGAAAUGGCAAUCCAGCGCCUGCAGCAAUGCCUGGCUGAGACCUGCAGAUGGGCUUCUUUUUACCAGCAGGUGGAGACAAGAAUGCUGACCAGAGUGCUUAAAAUCAGUGAAAGGAAAUCCAUUUCCCCACCGCUAAAGAAGCUUGUUAAAAAUCCACCAUGUAUCUUUUAACACCAUCACAAGAGCAGUUUAGAGAUCUUAAACUGCUCUCUAUUUUUAUUCCUAGCUGCUAAAGCAGAGGGUACCAUCUGGUGACAUUUGUCUGCUUUCCUUUGCUGCCAGAAGUACCUUCUUAACCUCUGGAGUAAAACAUUACUUCAGGGUGUGCACAGAGACAGAGAAAAGCCCAGUUUCUCUGCUGAACAACCCGUAUGGAAUUAAUGCAGCACAAAAGAGAAGGAAAGGUGUAUGUUUGGUGGCCCUGCUAGGCAGGGGGGUUGGAACUACAUGAUCCUUGAGGUCCCUUCCAACCCGGGUCAUUCUGUGAUUCUGUGAAAGGACACCUCUGGCCACAGAGCCAGCACAAACAUUGGCACUUGCAUUCAUGGAUGGCCUGGUGCCCGAGUCAGAUCCCUCCUGGCCAUACAGGAAUGCUCUGCCUCCCCCUGGCCUGGGAUGCCCUGUGUCUGUGUGCACUCACAAGCACGGGCAGGGCAGCUCUCUCCUGUUUGCACCUUGAAAGAACGCACGGCUCUGCUGUGCUCUGCAGAGAAUCUGCAUGUUGAGGUGCAUCUUAGGUGAACCAAAGUCCUUUAUCCCAUAAACAUUCACCAAGACUGCACUACUGCCCAGUGAGGAAAAUGGGGCAGAAACAGCACAAACCCAGCAGUGACCACCCUCCCCUCCCCAGGCCAAAAUUCAGCCCUUUCCCUGGUGCUGCUGUGGAUCACCUCUCAUGUCAGGGAGAUCCGCAGAGAGAGCGGUGGCUGCUGAGUAGAGCCACUGCUGAGAGAGGCCUGGGACAUGGAUCCACCAGCACCACCCACAGCCCCUUUGCUGAACAAACAUCUGUUUACAGAUGACAAGGAUGUGCUUGCCCCUGUUGCAGAAACACUUGUUUAAAGCCCUAUAAUGUAAUGUGUUACUUAGCCUCUGUGUCAAAAUAGAAGUGCGAUGAGCAAAACCACAGUAGGAUAAUAUUUUGAAUCAUAAAACCAAUGUUAGUCCCUCCCGCAUGUCCAAUGGCAGGGCAUUUUAUAGGAUUUGGAUGCAGCUCCUCUAGCCCAUUAAAGUUUAUUGUCCUUGAAAAAAAUGGAUGCGUUGCUGAUGAUAGAGACUUGGUGUUAUACUGUCAAUGCACAUUUUAUUUGAUCAGUCUUAAAUACAAUUCAGACCUUCAGACUCCACACAGAGCUGGACUUUAGCCUUUUCCUGUAAUUAUUUGAUGUCUCGUUAACUUUUUAUGAGUAUGUCUGUUUAAAUAAGCUUAUUUGAUAUGCUUUUAUUUUGGCUGUUGCCUGCUGUAUAGGAUGGAUGUACUUUUCUCUUUGUCUUUAAAAGAUACAAAUAAAAAUCAAAGAAAAGCUAAACA